rnacentral:rRNA from 1 species
CUUCGGUAGGCGGACAGCGGCGAAAGGGACAGUAAUGUGUAGGCACCUACCCUUGGGUCCGGGAUAGCUGCGGGAAACCGCAGGUAAUACCGGAUGACAUCUCCGGAUCAAAGGUGUGAUUCCGCCCGAAGAGGGGCCUACAUCCUAUUAGCUUGUUGGUGAGGUAACGGCUCACCAAGGCGACGAUGGGUAACGGGUGUGAGAGCAUGACCCGUGUCAUUGGGACUGAGACACUGCCCAGACACCUACGGGUGGCUGCAGUCGAGAAUCUUCGGCAAUGGGCGAAAGCCUGACCGAGCGAUGCCGCGUGCGGGAUGAAGGCCCUCGGGUUGUAAACCGCUGUCAACGAGGAGGAAGUGCAAGGGGGUUCUCCCUCUUGUUUGACCUAUUCGAGAAGGAAGUACGGGCUAAGUUCGUGCCAGCAGCCGCGGUAAGACGAACCGUACAAACGUUAUUCGGAAUUAUUGGGCUUAAAGGGUGCGUAGGCUGCGCGGAAAGUUGGGUGUGAAAGCCCUCGGCUCAACCGAGGAAUUGCGCCCAAAACUACCGUGCUCGAGGGAGACAGAGGUGAGCGGAACUCAAGGUGGAGCGGUGAAAUGCGUUGAUAUCUUGAGGAACACCGGUGGCGAAAGCGGCUCACUGGGUCUCUUCUGACGCUGAGGCACGAAAGCCAAGGUAGCAAACGGGAUUAGAUACCCCG